GUGAUCAUCUUUCUUUGGAAAAUCCAUAACAAAGUCCUUCCAUGCAAAUCUGAGAUAAAAAGAGAAUUAAUUCUAUUGAUUUUGGGUGUGCUCUCUGCUACGAUAAGGAAGAGGACAUAAAUAAUCUGUUUUGGGAAUGUGAACAUGCUAGAGUAGUUUGAUUUAGAGACAUAAGCACAAAUUCAAAUUCAGUAAGAGAUUGGAUCAUCCAGAAGAUGAAAUUGGCACUAGCUAGCGGAUGAAAAUACCAUGAAAGAUGAGAUUAUAGGAUUGGCCAUAUUAUCCUAUAGAAAAUUUGGGUACACAAAAAUAAAAUAAUCUUUAAAGGAAUCAACCCUAAUCCGAUUGCAGUAAUCAAAGAAGUUGAGGAAUACAUUA
rnacentral:lncRNA from 1 species